UGUCUCCACAUCUCCUCCUGUGAAUAUUUUUGUUCCUCCCUCAAAGAAGGACUGAAGCAUCCACACUUUGGUCUUCCAUCUUGAGCUUCUUGUGGUCUGUGAAUUGUAUCUUGGGUAAUCUGAACUUUUGGGUUAAUAUCCACUUAUCAGUGAGUGCAAACCAUGUGUGGUUUUUUGUGUUUGGGUUACCUCACUCAGGAUGAUAACUUCUAGUUCCAUCCAUUUACCUAUGAAUUUUAUGAAGUCAUUGUUUUUGAUAGCUGAGUAGUACUUAAUUGUGUAAAUAUACCACAUAUUCUAUAUCCAUUCCUCUAUUGAAGGACAUCAGGGUUUUUUUCAAGCUUCUGGCUAUUAUAAAUAAGGCUGCUAUGAACAUAGUGGAGCAUGUGUCCUUGUUAUAUGUUGGAGCAUCUUUUGGGUAUAUGCCCAGAAGAGGUAUAUAUAGAUGGGUCCUCAGGUAGUACUAUAUCCAAUUUUCUGAGGAACCUCCAGACUAGUUUUCAGAGUGGUUGUACCAGUUUGAAAUCCCAUCAACAAUGGAGGAGUGUUCCUCUUCACAUCCUUGCCAGCAUCUGUUGUCACCUGAGUUUUUGAUUUUAUGGAUUCUGACUGGUGUGAGGUAGAAUCUCAGCGUUGGUUUGAUUUGCAUUUCCCUGAUGACUAGGGAUGUUGGACGUUUCUUUAGUUGCUUCUCAGCCAUUUGAUAUUCCUCAGCUGAGAAUUCUUUGUUUAGCUGUAUACCCCAUUUUUAAUAGAGUUAUUUCAUUCUCUGGAGUCUAAUUCUUGAGUACUUUGUACAUGUGGGAUAUUAGCCCUCUAUUGGAGGUAGGAUUGGUAAAGAUCUUUUCCUAAUCUGUUGGUUUCCAUUUUGUCCUAAUGACAGUGUCCUUUGCCUUACAGAAGCUUUGCAGUUUUAUGAGAUCCAUUUGUCGAUUCUUGAUCUUAGAGCAUAAGCCAUUGGUGUUUUGUUCAGGAAAUUUUCUCCAGUGCCCAUGUGUCUGAGAUGCUUCCCCACUUUUUCUUCUAUUAGUUUGAGUGUAUCAGGUUUGAUGUGGAGGUCCUUGAUUCACUUGGACUUGAGCUUUGUACAGGAUGAUAAGAAUGGAUCAAUUUGCAUUCUUCUAUAUGUGGACUUUCAGUUGAACCAGCACCAUUUGUUGAAAAUGCUAUCUUUUUUCCACCGAAUGGUUUUAAUGCCUUUGUCAGAGAUCAAGUGACCUAAGUGUGUGGGUUCAUUUCUGGUUCUUCAAUUCUAUUCCAUUGAUCUACCUGC
rnacentral:lncRNA from 1 species